GCAGUCGAACGGCAGCACGGGUGCUUGCACCUGGUGGCGAGUGGCGAACGGGUGAGUAAUACAUCGGAACGUGUCCUGUAGUGGGGGAUAGCCCGGCGAAAGCCGGAUUAAUACCGCAUACGAUCUACGGAUGAAAGCGGGGGAUCUUCGGACCUCGCGCUAUAGGGGCGGCCGAUGGCGGAUUAGCUAGUUGGUGAGGUAAAGGCUCACCAAGGCGACGAUCCGUAGCUGGUCUGAGAGGACGACCAGCCACACUGGGACUGAGACACGGCCCAGACUCCUACGGGAGGCAGCAGUGGGGAAUUUUGGACAAUGGGCGAAAGCCUGAUCCAGCAAUGCCGCGUGUGUGAAGAAGGCCUUCGGGUUGUAAAGCACUUUUGUCCGGAAAGAAAUCCCUGGUCCUAAUAUGGCCGGGGGAUGACGGUACCGGAAGAAUAAGCACCGGCUAACUACGUGCCAGCAGCCGCGGUAAUACGUAGGGUGCAAGCGUUAAUCGGAAUUACUGGGCGUAAAGCGUGCGCAGGCGGUGAUGUAAGACCGAUGUGAAAUCCCCGGGCUCAACCUGGGAACUGCAUUGGUGACUGCAUCGCUUGAGUAUGGCAGAGGGGGGUAGAAUUCCACGUGUAGCAGUGAAAUGCGUAGAGAUGUGGAGGAAUACCGAUGGCGAAGGCAGCCCCCUGGGUCAAUACUGACGCUCAUGCACGAAAGCGUGGGGAGCAAACAGGAUUAGAUACCCUGGUAGUCCACGCCCUAAACGAUGUCAACUGGUUGUCGGGUCUUCAUUGACUUGGUAACGUAGCUUACGCGUGAAGUUGACCGCCUGGGGAGUACGGUCGCAAGAUUA
rnacentral:rRNA from 2 species